UACGUAGGGUGCAAGCGUUGUCCGGAAUUAUUGGGCGUAAAGAGCUCGUAGGCGGUCUGUUGCGUCGGCUGUGAAAACCCGGGGCUCAACCUCGGGCCUGCAGCCGAUACGGGCAGACUAGAGUUCGGCAGGGGAGACUGGAAUUCCUGGUGUAGCGGUGAAAUGCGCAGAUAUCAGGAGGAACACCGGUGGCGAAGGCGGGUCUCUGGGCCGAUACUGACGCUGAGGAGCGAAAGCGUGGGGAGCGAACAGG
rnacentral:rRNA from 1 species